rnacentral:rRNA from 1 species
UGCGUAGGCGGGAUAUUAAGUCAGUGGUGAAAUCCUGCGGCUCAACCGUAGAACUGCCAUUGAUACUGAUAUUCUUGAAUGUAGUUGAGGUAGGCGGAAUGUGUAAUGUAGCGGUGAAAUGCUUAGAUAUUACACAGAACACCGAUUGCGAAGGCAGCUUACUAAACUAUGAUUGACGCUGAGGCACGAAAGCGUGGGGAGCGAACAGGAUUAGAUACCCUGGUAGUCC